AACUAAACCAAAACACUCUUAUGUAACCUAUUGACUGACAACGUCUGGAACUUACUGUAUGUCUCUGUGUCUAGAUACUGCAGGUCACAUAUCUCUCUGUGGAAGCAACCUCAUAGCGUAAAGCCUCCUACAGGUAAUGGGGAAGGUAACAUGAUCCUCAAGCAUACAUCUUUAUUUGAGUGGAUACAUUUAUGACGUGGGCCUAUGCACAAAUGAGGGGCAAUAUACCGACAAGGAUCAGGUUAAGUAAAUAGACUCAGAGAUCAAUUAAUAAUAUGGAUCAAAAUAGCUUUUUUGCAGGCCUUAUUAACAGCUUUCUCUUUCCAAUCAGGACAAGCCAGUUGGUAGAUGGUUGUUUUAAGCUCAGACAAACAUCAGUCAUCACCUACCAUCACCGACAGAGUCAACCAUGAGUCAACACUUAGUUCCCAGUCACAAUAGCUAAGGUGGACCUCCGAAGAAAUGCUUAAACUGCAUUCAAUUGUCUGCCAAACAUCAGUAGCAGGCUCAAGUGGCAGAAAGUUUCCGUUGAUGAUCCAGACUGACACCAAAGUCUACUGGGAGAUUAAUGAGGAGGGAGUUCCGUCUCACUGACAGACACACGGGGCCUUGUUCAAUCAAAACAGGUUACUGUGUUUCCAGAAUAAGACAAAAACUUUCAGCACACUAUUAUUUUUUACUGGUAUAUGUAAAACUCCCUGUUAUUGCAUAUUUGUUACGUAGUAAUAACAUAAGUCAUUCCCUUAUAAUUAAAUUCAAAUGGAUAUGACAUAGGUAUUAAGCAGAUGUUCUAAUGUAAUUUUAAAGGUAAUAUGAACCUUUAUUUGAAUAAAAAGGAAAACCAUCCGUUGGUCAGCUGGUUAAA